CUGCACCUGGUAGCGUUGCAUACGUGUACGGUGUCACGUAACUCGCUGCCGCUGCAUUCGCUGCAAAAAGAAAGAAAAGAAAAAAAGAAGUAAAGAGCAGGAAAAAUAUGGCGUGGAAGUGCGAGCGAUGGUCGAUACGCGGCGCUAGUGUCGCGUCUCAGGUGGCCAUAUUGUUAAUCCACCAUGAUCGACUGGCCCUACGGAUAAUCACACUUGCCGUUCGAGGCGACCCGUGGUCCAUCGAGUUCGAUCAAUCUCGUCUUUUCGAGGAGAUGACGAUAGUAAUAAUAAAUAGUUAAAGGAGAGAAGUGUCGCCGAUGGACAACCGGAAGCUCGAACCUUUUCUCGUCCUGUGCGGUUAAGUUAAGAGAACUUGGAGAAGAGGGAAAGGAGGGGAUUUUAACCAAUGCGUGUAUACAGAGUGUAAAUAGUGGGAUGUCUUCGCGCGUGCGAUCCCCUGCUAGGUGUGCGGAGGAGUGAGUUAAAACGCGAAUAAUGCAACCCUUUCCACCAUUCCUAUUCCCUUUCCCUCGCAAUUAAGAUAAACGGUUUAUUGGAAAAGCGUUUGCCCCUAACUUUCUCGAAUAUAGAUAACACGACGCGAACGCUAAUGGGCUCGGACCCUUUACGAGACACUUACGAGGACUAUACACGCGUAUUUAUGUUUCUCGUGGCCUAUAUAUCUCCCCUCCCUCGAUUCGAAAUGUUUCUUUUCUUCCAACGAGAGUUUCCUUUUCUUUUUGAAGUUUCUUUUUUUUUCAGAAAAGUAUAGAGGGAUAAAAUUUUUUUUUUCUUUUUAUGAAACAAGACGUUGUGAAGGAAAGAAUUGUAAAAAUUUAAGUUGUAUUGUUUGUAUUUCGAAAAAAAACGUGUGUGUGUGUACUGAUAUUUUCCAACAUGAGAAAAAUGAAUGAUCCGUGUUCGUAUUCCUUUAUAAAAAGAAAAAGAAAACACGUGUGGCUGAAUUAAUAAUCAAUUCUGUGUUAUUUGAAACUGUACUUUGAUAUAACAUUCGAUAACCGUGAAUCUGAGAGUAUUAUCCGCGUUCUAUGCCGUCAUACGAAUGCUACUUUUACGUGUACCAUUGCAAUGAUAUAUCAAACGAUAAUAAACGCCGAGUAAUAAAUGUGCGCGCGUCUGUGUCCUGUGUCUGUGUCCUGUUGUGUGCGCGCGUGUUCGUGUGGAAAGAAAUUAUUCGAUGCGAGAAAAAGGACAAAAGGGAGUGAGGUGGGGGGAGGAGGACAGGUGGACGGGAAGCGAACGCGUUAUGAAAAUGGUGACAGAGUGUGGUAUCGCUAAGGCGUGACGUUAAAAGAAAAGAAAAGAAAAGAAAAAAAAAAAAAAAAAAAAGAAUGCGCAACAAAUCCAAUGAAAAGAGAAAAAAAAAAUAGGAAAGAAAAGAAAAAGAAAAGAAAAAGAAAAUAGAAAAAUCCUCAAUGUGUCGGCAAAACAACAACAAACCAACGACAAACGUGUGUAAUAGUCAGGUCAUUUCCAUCGAAUGAUAAUGAUACUUCUCGAUACUUCACGGCACACGAUUAACCUAACACCAACGUUAGUACAUAAUUUACUCUAAUAAAAUUCACAAAAGAAAAAAGAAAAAAGUGUAUAAUACGUUCCAAUACAGUGGCAGUGCCUCUGUCUCUAUCUCUUUUCCCCUCUUUUUCUUUCUUUCUUUCUUUCUCUCUUUCUCUCUUUCUUUCUUUUUCUUCAACGCACAAUACCGGAUCAUCGCGCGCCCGUUAAAAAAAAACUUCGCCGCCCCGACUCGUUUCUCACUUCAACCUGUUCUCCAAUUUAUCGCAAAAAGGAUCGCGUUUCCUUUACGGGCCGACGACGGGACGAACGUCAAACUCGAUCAUCGACCAAAUUUUUCUAUGUGUAUAUAUAAAAUAUAUAUAUAUAUAUAUAUAUACACACGAUAAAUUUGGCGAUUUCGUUCUCGCAAAAAAUUAAUUCUUGUUGAACUUCGACUAAUUGAAAUGGUGAAUAAAAUAAUUUUUUUUUUUUUU
rnacentral:lncRNA from 1 species